GACGAACGCUGGCGGCGUGCCUAAUACAUGCAAGUAGGACGCAGUUGCGAACGGGUGAGUAACGCGUAGGUAACUGCCUAUUAGAGGGGGAUAACUAUUGGAAACGAUAGCUAAUACCGCAUACUAGUAGAUGGACCUGCGUUGUAUUUGGUAGUAGGUAGGGUAAUGGCCUACCUAGGCAACGAUACAUCGCCGACCUGGGAGGGUGAUCGGCCACACUGGGACUGGAACACGGGCCAGACUCCUUCGGGGAGCAGCAGUAGGGAAUCUUUGGAAAUGGGGGGAACGCUGACCGAGCAACGCCGCGGGAGUGGAGAAGGUUUUCGGAUCGUAAAGCUCUGUUGUUAAGGAAGCGGUACUUAACCAGAAAGGGACGGCUAACUACGUGCCAGCAGCCGCGGUAAUUC
rnacentral:rRNA from 1 species